rnacentral:SRP_RNA from 1 species
GCCAGGUGUGGCGGUGCACGCCUGUAGUCCCAGCUAUUUGGGAGGCUGAGGCAGGGGAAUGGCUUGAACCCGGGAAGCAGGGUUGCAGUGAGUCAAGAUUAUGCCACUGCACUCCAGCCUGGGCAACAGAGUGAGACCCUGUCUCAA